GAAGAAGCUCAUGAAAAACAUGAAUAUGCCUUUUUCAGAAUACAUUUCACCAAUUUUAAGAAGUCCCUGACAUCAUAACCUUGUUUCCUUCUAAUGAACCUGGAACUGUAGAGUAAAUAUUGUUGACUCUGUGUCAGAUUGCUUGUUUUGUUCCUGGAUUCUUCAGUGAUGACGAUCAGAGUCUGAGUGAACCUGCUGUCAGACAGGUUGGCCUGAUUGACGAUGCCAUCAUCCAUCGCCGAUAGCUGAUAGACAUCACGAUGCUGCGCUGGCAAACAGCGUCAUCAGCUCCAGUAUCUCGCCCGUGCAUCUGUUGUCAUGCGACAGAGAAGUCACGUUCUAUAGACAGUUGUGAGGGUGCUGACAGCUGGUUGCCCAGGCUAUGGAUUAAAGGUAAUACUGUUGGCCAGCAGAGCCCUGCUCACCCUGACGGCCCACCGCUGCUGUCAGAUAACAUCUCCAAGAUGCUAUAAACUGCAGGACCAGAUGGCCAUCCCAAGGUUUCUAGAGAUUACACCAGCUCCAGACUGAAUCCAAACUUACUUGUGAAGACUUCAGAUGACACCAACGCUCACAAAGACUACAGACAGACGACAACUGUGCAUGAACACACAAAACAUUGGACACACAAAACAAAUAUUAUCCUUAUUUUGCCUAUAAGGGUAAAUUUGUAAGCAUCACUUUAAAAAU